rnacentral:rRNA from 1 species
GACGAACCGUGCGAACGUUGUUCGGAAUCACUGGGCUUAAAGGGCGCGUAGGCGGGCCACCAAGUCAGGGGUGAAAUCUUUCGGCUCAACCGGAAAAGUGCCUUUGAUACUGGUGGCCUCGAGGGAGGUAGGGGUCUGCGGAACUUCCGGUGGAGCGGUGAAAUGCGUGAGAUAUACGGAAGGAACGCCGGUGGCGAAAGCGGCGGACUGGACCUCUUCUGACGGCUGAGGCGCGAAAGCCAGGGGAGCAAACGGG